GCCCAGGUAGCUCAGUCGGUAGAGCAGCGGACUGAAAAUCCGCGUGUCGUGUCGGUGGUUCGAUUCCGCCCCUGGGCA
rnacentral:tRNA from 1 species